CCUACGGGGGGCUGCAGUGGGGAAUUUUGCACAAUGGGCGAAAGCCUGAUGCAGCAACGCCGCGUGUGUGAUGAAGGUCUUCGGAUCGUAAAGCACUUUCGAUCGGGACGAAAAACCUCUGGCUAACACUCAGGGGCUUGACUGUACCGAGAGAAGAAGCACCGGCUAACUCUGUGCCAGCAGCCGCGGUAAUACAGAGGGUGCAAGCGUUGUUCGGAAUUAUUGGGCGUAAAGCGCGUGUAGGCGGCCAUAUAAGUCGGGUGUGAAAGCCCUCA
rnacentral:rRNA from 1 species